rnacentral:rRNA from 2 species
UGCAAGUCGAGCGAACAGAUAAGGAGCUUGCUCCUUUGACGUUAGCGGCGGACGGGUGAGUAACACGUGGAUAACCUACCUAUAAGACUGGGAUAACUUCGGGAAACCGGAGCUAAUACCGGAUAACAUAUUGAACCGCAUGGUUCAAUAGUGAAAGGCGGCUUUGCUGUCACUUAUAGAUGGAUCCGCGCCGUAUUAGCUAGUUGGUAAGGUAACGGCUUACCAAGGCAACGAUACGUAGCCGACCUGAGAGGGUGAUCGGCCACACUGGAACUGAGACACGGUCCAGACUCCUACGGGAGGCAGCAGUAGGGAAUCUUCCGCAAUGGGCGAAAGCCUGACGGAGCAACGCCGCGUGAGUGAUGAAGGUCUUCGGAUCGUAAAACUCUGUUAUCAGGGAAGAACAAAUGUGUAAGUAACUGUGCACAUCUUGACGGUACCUGAUCAGAAAGCCACGGCUAACUACGUGCCAGCAGCCGCGGUAAUACGUAGGUGGCAAGCGUUAUCCGGAAUUAUUGGGCGUAAAGCGCGCGUAGGCGGUUUUUUAAGUCUGAUGUGAAAGCCCACGGCUCAACCGUGGAGGGUCAUUGGAAACUGGAAAACUUGAGUGCAGAAGAGGAAAGUGGAAUUCCAUGUGUAGCGGUGAAAUGCGCAGAGAUAUGGAGGAACACCAGUGGCGAAGGCGACUUUCUGGUCUGUAACUGACGCUGAUGUGCGAAAGCGUUGGGGAUCAAACAGGAUUAGAUACCCUGGUAGUCCACGCCGUAAACGAUGAGUGCUAAGUGUUAGGGGGUUUCCGCCCCUUAGUGCUGCAGCUAACGCAUUAAGCACUCCGCCUGGGGAGUACGACCGCAAGGUUGAAACUCAAAGGAAUUGACGGGGACCCGCACAAGCGGUGGAGCAUGUGGUUUAAUUCGAAGCAACGCGAAGAACCUUACCAAAUCUUGACAUCCUUUGACCGCUCUAGAGAUAGAGUCUUCCCCUUCGGGGGACAAAGUGACAGGUGGUGCAUGGUUGUCGUCAGCUCGUGUCGUGAGAUGUUGGGUUAAGUCCCGCAACGAGCGCAACCCUUAAGCUUAGUUGCCAUCAUUAAGUUGGGCACUCUAAGUUGACUGCCGGUGACAAACCGGAGGAAGGUGGGGAUGACGUCAAAUCAUCAUGCCCCUUAUGAUUUGGGCUACACACGUGCUACAAUGGACAAUACAAAGGGCAGCUAAACCGCGAGGUCAAGCAAAUCCCAUAAAGUUGUUCUCAGUUCGGAUUGUAGUCUGCAACUCGACUACAUGAAGCUGGAAUCGCUAGUAAUCGUAGAUCAGCAUGCUACGGUGAAUACGUUCCCGGGUCUUGUACACACCGCCCGUCACACCACGAGAGUUUGUAACACCCGAAGCCGGUGGAGUAACCA